rfam:Ovis aries breed Texel chromosome 18, whole genome shotgun sequence.
UAGCUUAGUCAGUAAAGAAUCUGCCUGCAAUGCAGGAGACCUGGGUUCAAUUCCUGG